CUUGCGGUGUCGUCUCUGACAGCCGCAUCACGUCCCUCUUUCAAAAUCCUGAUGACAAGUUUAUUGCUCUGCAGUGGACUGGAUUUCGCCGUAGUCAGCUAAGCUCUGUCCCUGUCCAACAGUCUCGUCAGGCUCAGGUCCAUCAAGGUCCGCUUCUGUCCCCACUGAAGGCCCAGACGCUGCGGGCGGCCCUGUCUCGUCUCGCCGGGAGGGCUGAGGGCCAUGAGUGACAGCUGUCAGUCAUACGUACAUCUGUGAAGAAGACACAGGGAGAAUUUAGACUGACAUCCGCUUGUCUAAGUUUUCUUUUUAACUCUAAUUUGUUGUCUUUUUUACAUUCUGUGUCCGUCCCUGUGCUCUUGCCCCCCCCCCC
rnacentral:lncRNA from 1 species